GCAUAUCAAUAAGCGGAGGAAAAGAAACUAACAAGGAUUCCCCUAGUAACGGCGAGUGAACCGGGAAGAGCUCAAAUUUGAAAUCUGGCGUCCUCAGGGCGUCCGAGUUGUAAUCUAUAGAGGCGUUUUCCGUGCCGGACCGUGUCCAAGUUCCUUGGAACAGGAUAUCAAAGAGGGUGACAAUCCCGUACUUGACACGACGACCGGUGCUCUGUGAUACGUCUUCUACGAGUCGAGUUGUUUGGGAAUGCAGCUCAAAAUGGGUGGUGAGUUCCAUCUAAAGCUAAAUAUUGGCGAGAGACCGAUAGCGAACAAGUACCGUGAGGGAAAGAUGAAAAGCACUUUGGAAAGAGAGUUAAACAGUACGUGAAAUUGUUGAAAGGGAAACGAUUGAAGUCAGUCGUGACCGAGAGGCUCAGCCGGUUCUGCCGGUGUAUUCCCCUCGGUCGGGUCAACAUCAGUUUUGUCCGGUGGAUAAGGGCGGUAGGAAGGUGGCACCCUCGGGUGUGUUAUAGCCUGCCGUCGCAUACAUCGGGUGAGACUGAGGAACGCAGCUCGCCUUUAUGGCCGGGGUUCGCCCACGUCCGAGCUUAGGAUGUUGACAUAAUGGCUUUAAACGACCCGUCU
rnacentral:rRNA from 1 species